rnacentral:rRNA from 1 species
CGCCUACGGGGGGCAGCAGUGAGGAAUAUUGGUCAAUGGGCGGAAGCCUGAACCAGCCUAGUCGCGUGAGGGAAUAAGGCCCUACGGGUCGUAAACCUCUUUUGCCGGGGAGCAAGGGCCGGGACGGGUCCCGGUGCGGAGAGUACCCGGAGAAAAAGCAUCGGCUAACUCCGUGCCAGCAGCCGCGGUAAUACGGAGGAUGCGAGCGUUAUCCGGAUUUAUUGGGUUUAAAGGGUGCGUAGGCGGGCUUUUAAGUCAGCGGUAAAAAUUCGGGGCUCAACCCCGUCCGGCCGUUGAAACUGGGG